UACGUAGGGGGCGAGCGUUGUCCGGAAUUAUUGGGCCUAAAGCAUCCGUAGCCGGUUCUACAAGUCUUCCGUUAAAUCCACCUGCUUAACAGAUGGGCUGCGGAGGAUACUAUGGAGCUAGGAGGCGGGAGAGGCAAGCGGUACUUAGUGGGUAGGGGUAAAAUCCGUUGAUCCAUUGAAGACCACCAGUGGCGAAGGCGGCUUGCCAGAACGCACUCGACAGUGAGGGAUGAAAGCUGGGGGAGCAAACCGG
rnacentral:rRNA from 1 species